rnacentral:lncRNA from 1 species
UCUAUGGCGGCGGCGGUGGCGGCGGCGGCCGCUCCUCCUCCCGCUCCCGCCGCCCGCCUGCCUCGCGCGCCCGCCCGCCCGCCGGCCCGCCCGCCGCGACGGGGCGGGGCGUUGUUACCGGCAACGGUUACCAGGCUCCACGCCCCGCCCCUCAGCGGCCCGCCCACGCCCGCCUCCUACGGGCGCGGGGAGGGCCGGGCGUGAGCCCCCGCGGCACCCCAUUGGCUGCCCGCAGUGCCCAUCAGAGGGGGCGUUCCCGGCGAGGGCGAGGCUUAGCCAAUCGCCGCGAAGGGGGGCGUGGCUUGGCGGGAGGCGCGCGCUGCUCGGAGGGUCGGCGAGCGGAAAGCGCGCGCGGCCCCCGGUGGGUGGCGCUGCUCGGGGGAGGCCGCGGCUCGGUGAGUCCCCGGGGGGCCUUCGUGUAGCUCCACGACCGAUUCGAUUCCCGGGACGUCCAGACAGAGUCCGAGUCUGGGGUCAGCAAACCCCGACCCUGCCCGCCGCCUGGUUUUCAUGCACCACCAGCUGAGAGCUUUCAAAUAUAUAUUUUUUUAAUGGUUUAAAACAAUCAAAAGAAGACUCUUCGGUGGCAUGCGGAAAAACGAUGAAGCUCUUGUAUUACCGAAUCUAGUGGUUUCGAUAUCUUUUAAGGGUUGGCGGGCUGCACCCCUAAUUAUGUCCGCCUGUGUUUGUCAAUAAAGUUUUAUUGGAACACAGCCAGGAGGACCAUCCUUUUAAGAGAUCGCGGAAGGCUGAUUUCUCACUACACGGGCAGGCCUGAGCAGCGAAGGGUUAAUUCGUUGUGCAAAGAUGGAAUGGCAUCGGCAGAGCCUGGAAGAUUUACUACCCAGCCUUUCACAGAAAAAUGUUUGCCAACCUUCUUCCCUCCCCAGAUGUGAAAGGGGACCAGCCUCAGAAGUUCAGUGGCGACCUGCAACGUCACGGCUCCCCCACGCAAAGGCCUGCCCUUGGCUGAUGUCUAACAACUGCCACGCAUUUCUCGUCUUGCUUCCCCCCUGGAAGGAGGAGAAGACUGAAGUCCCCGGAGACAGCAUACUGAGCUGCGGCCAGCCUGUCUGAGCCUGCGACACACGCACCUCUUCCCAAGCAGACCCAUCCCAAUUUAGCAGCAAGUGGCCUCCCCCGGCUGCCAAAACAGACAUCUCAGGCCCUUCGUUUCUGGGAGGCCUCCCUGCGGUGGCUGCAGCACACAGUCCCCGCCCUAUGGGGUCCCAGGGUCCAGGCAUGCCCUUGGGGUGCCCUUCACCGGGCCCUCCUCGUACCCAGCACUCAGCACCCCAGAAGCCCCCUGCCCAGACACCCUUUUAACAAGUUCCCUCCUGCCCUCACCCUUCCGUACCCCCAGCGUAGGUGCACAGACUUUGGGGUUGGGACCCUCUUUCUCUGCUGUUUCCUCUGAAAACUUGCCGUGGGGCUGGCAUCUCACUGGGGAGCUCAUAAUCUUUGAGUCUUGUCACGGGUGGAAAUUCUAGUUUUUCCGAGGACUGUCUCUCCCCCCACAUCCAGGCUAAGUAGGUUCCAUCAGGGCAGGGACCUUUUGGGCCUGCUCUCUAGGAUCCUCGUCACCUAGAGCAGAGGUUCUUAACCAAGAGCACUUCUGCCUUCAAGGAGACAUCUGGUGAUCUCUGGAGACAUUUGUGAUUGUCACAGCCAAGAGGUGGUCCUGGCAUGGAGUGGGAAGAGACCGAGGAUGCUGCUCAACACCCUACAGUGCACAGAAUGGCCCCUAUGGCGGAGAAUGAUGUGGCCUCAAAUAUCAACGGUGCCUCAACUGAGAAACCCUGUAUGGAGUGUUUGGGGGUGAAAGUUGAGUCUGAUCCCUGCUCAUGUUAUGCACCAGUAUAAAUCCUCAGCCGUAUAAACCAGGGUGACCCCCCUAGUGCCUGAGUCACCCCUUCUCUCCUCCAACUCAAUAUGUGUAUUUAAAUGUGUGUAGCAUCCUAGGACCUCAGUGGGUCAGAUGAUUAUGGAACAGAGUCCCCUGGGGGUCAGUGGAAUCCACUCACCCCAGGGGGGGGGAGGGUCUCAUCUGAGAUAAUUUUGUCCCCCAGGGUGAUGUCUUGAGACAUUUUUGUUGUCAUGACUAGGGGAGGGAGAGUUACUGGCAUUUGAUGGUACAAGGUGGGGAUGCUGCUCCACACCCUACAACACACAGGACAGUCCCACCCCAGAGCAUGACCCAGUGUCAACAUUGAGUGCCGAGGCUAAGAAACCCUGGUUUAGGGGAUCCCUGGGUGGCUCAGUGGUUGACCAUCUACCUUCGGCUCAGGUCAUGAUCCCAGGGUCCUGGGAUCGAGUCCUGCAUCGGGCUCCCCGCAGGAAACCUGUCUCUCCCUCUGCCUAUGUCUCUGCCUCUCUCUGUGUGUCUCUCAUGAAUAAAUAAAAUUUUUUUUUUAAAAAAAGAAAGAAAAAAAAAAACCCUGGUCUAGAAUCAAGCUUGAGCACGGCUGUUCCUCCUUACAUCACUGUCGAAUAAAUGGACAUUAGAACACCAAGCCUGCAGGUGCAAACUUGCCCAAAUCUAUAUAUUUUUAAAAGUAUUUAAAAUUUGAGAUAAAAUAUCCAUAAAAUUUACCAGUUUGACCAUUUUUUUGUGUGUGUGUGUGUACAGUCAGUGGCAUUAAGCAUACUUAUACUGUUGUGCAAACAUUCCCACCAGCCGUCUCCAGAACCUUCCAUUUCCCCACACAGAGACCCUGUCCCCAGGAAGCACUGACCCCCGCCCCCUGCCCCACCCCUGGCUCCCACCACCUCCUCUCUGUCUCUGUGGACGGGCCUCCUCUGGGGACCUCCUGGGAGUGGGGUCCUGCAGGAGGUGUCCUUCUGGGUCUGGGUCCCCUCCCUGAGCCCGGUAUCCUCGGGGCCCGUCCCCGUGGGGGCAGGUGUCGGGGCCCCUUCCUUUCUAGGGCCGGGUCAUAUCCCAGGGUGUGGAUGGACCUCACUGUGGUUAUCCAUGCAUCUAUCCACGGACACUUGGCUUGCUCCACGUCUUCGCUAUUGCAAAUAAUGCUGCUACAAAAGUGGGCGUGCAAACAUCUCCUAGAGACCCUGCUUCCGAAAUCCGAAAUCCCUUAAGGUUAGAUGGGCAGAAACUUCGAGGAAGCUCUAACCACGAGGGGAAUGAAGAGGAAACACAAUUCUGUGCUUAAAAGAAGGGUUUUAAGCCUCUGACUAUCAUCCAGGGCAGACAGAGGAGAGCUGCUCCGGGAUCGUCCACAGCUUUCCGGCACAAUCCCACCAUCUCCAGCUCAAGCAGUGGUGACAGGUCACGGGGGCGCAGCGGACAGGUGUGAAUUUCCUGCAGGAAAAUUCAGCUCAGGACUUACCUUCCAUCAUCACUCUUCACUUCCCAGGAUCCCUAGGCAGGUCCAGGUCCAAGUAAUCCCUCAUCAGAGAAGAGCCAG